AUGCUGAAAUUCUUAAGUAUUUUUAACAUCUGUUACAGGGCAAUUUUGCCUUAUUGCACUAGAGCCAGAAUACAGCUGGCGAGGACAAUGUUUCUCCUUCAAGUCCCUUUCGGCUUUGCCCCCACUUUCAUCACGAGCGCGCGCAUUGUUUUGUGCUGGGUGGGUCAAAUAUCCAGCGCUCUUGCAGAGAGGACAAGUAGGAUUAAUGAGGAGUCACAACAUCUGGAAGGUGCUGCAGACCCUUGGUUAGAGGGGAGAGGCCAGAAUCCGAGGAACUGGCUUCCUGAGACUUCGAGGCACCCCCAGCAAGAGUCUCUUCCUAGACUCAAAAGAGCUGCUUCGUUGGAGCAAUAAUCAUGAUGGCUACCAUUUAUUACCGUGUGCCAGCCACUGGGCUAAAUACUUGAUCUACGUUAUCUGUAAUCAUGGCAAAAAUGCUAAGAAGAAACCAUUACUUUACAGCAGAGGAUACUGAGGGUCAGAAAGGUUAACUAACCUUCUCAAGGUUAUAAACCCAACCUGCAGAGCUGGGGUCUGAACUCCAAAGUUGGUGUUCUUUUCACUAAGCCACACUGAUGCUAACGUAUCCCAGUUCAAGUCGUUCUCUCUCGGGAUCGAUAUGGGUUGCGGAGGUCAUUGUUUCCCUCUUGCUCUGGAGAAAAAAUGGACAGCUACUAUUAAGCAGCAAGCCCAGGGGAAACCCAAUUGCCCACAGUGUUCCAUAUGGAGCCAUUGCCUUUCAAGAUGCAGACACAUACAAGACAAACACGGUUCUGUUGGAGAAGCAUGCACUCAUGUCCAGGCUUCUGCAAGUAUUAGCCUCAAGGAAGCUUUAAUGUUCUUGGUUUGCUCUCCCUUUUUCCUUUUUCUUCUUUUAAGUUUACUUAUUUAUUUAAGGGAGAGAGAGAGAGCGGGGGGGGGGGGCGGGGGGGCUAGGGAGAGAGGGUGAGAGAAUCCCAGCAGGCUCCAUGCUAUCAGUGCAAAGCCCAUUGCAGGCUCGAACCCACAAACCAUGAGAUCAUGACCUGGGCCAAAAUUAAGAUCAUGAUCAUACCUUAACCGACUGAGCCACCCAGGCACCCCUUGGUUUGAUCUCCCUUGUAGAAUAUAACCAAACGACCCUGGCUCAUCAGCUUUGAAUCUAAGUAAAAUCUCCCUGCCAAUCAGUAACCCUGAGUCCCUAUUCUUAUCUACAUCCACUCUGGUUUCCCUCUUCUGCUGCAAAACAUUUCCUCUCUGGCCUCUCCCUCAAAAUGUUUAAUCCCAAAGAAAUCCUCAUGGUGGCCACAGUCCCGUGCAACUUCUGGCAUUAAUCAGUGGCCACUACCGCUGAGCCUGUGGAGUCCACCAAGGGAUGGCAGUGCGUGGGUCAAGCUCAGUGGUUCCUAGUGCUCCCGACGCUGCCAGACCCCAGGCCAGUCCCCCAACCUUGUUCUUCUGUUUGUCAGCCGGGCCCUGAAGCAACUCUGUGCGCAGAACUCUACGUGGUCGCGGGGAAAUGGCUCAUUCAUCUUCUGUCAGAGAGUCUUGCGCGAGAAAGAGAACAUCUUCGCAUGAAGGAUCAGCAGCUCGCAAGCAUGGCGUAGAUUAAAUUACACUUCUAGGAGACACAAUGCUGAUAACAAGGUCUAUCUGUAGAUGCAGGGUGCUCCUAACGCAGACAACUUUUUCACUCUCAGAGAGUUAGUCGUCUCGUGUCAGCCUCAGCAAUACCCAACACCUGUUCUAUUGCAGCCACUAUUUUAUCUUUGUUUACCUGUUCCCCGACACGAACCCUGCCCCAUCCAUCCGAUGCCCCCUAAACCAAGGGGAGAGUUUCGGCCACUGGAUAUCCAAAUCUCUACUUCUUACUGGGAGGAACCGUCCUUCCACCUUCCACUGUUUCCAUGAAGGUGAAAAAGAUCAUAAGGUCAGUUUCUGUCAGUUCUCAUACUCUCGGUACCUUGUGUUUUCCUUCCAUAGAAAACUCAGCCAGAAUCCCUGAGAUAGGAGAGUGGGAGGUUUUCUUUAGGAAUCACUGCCUUUUGUCUCUGAGAAGGCUUUUUUCUUUCUUUUUUUUUAAAUAAGGAUUUGGCCCAUCUUGAUUCAGGCAUAGUAACCACAGACUGGGGGUUGGGAGGGGGGUGGGGGGCAAGAUGCACAGAACACCAAAAGGAGAAAAGUAUAUCGGAGGAAAGGAAAGGGAAACGCAUGGGGAACCAGACUGACAGAAUUGGAUUCCUUAAAACCGAAGUGAGGGAAAACCAUAACGUCUCUACUACAUGACGUUUUGAAUCUUCCAAAAGAACACCUACGCACAACAGUAGAGAGUAAAAUGACUUCUCAGGUAAACUUACAGGUCAAUAAAGACUGCAGGAGCAUUUCUGUUGACUAUAUC
ensembl:lncRNA